GCGAGAAAUUGCUGCUAAUACCGGAUGAUGACGUAAGUCCAAAGAUUUAUCGCCCAGGGAUGAGCCCGCGUAGGAUUAGGUAGUUGGUGUGGUAAAGGCGCACCAAGCCUACGAUCCUUAGCUGGUCUGAGAGGAUGAUCAGCCACACUGGGACUGAGACACGGCCCAGACUCCUACGGGAGGCAGCAGUGGGGAAUAUUGGACAAUGGGCGAAAGCCUGAUCCAGCAAUGCCGCGUGAGUGAUGAAGGCCUUAGGGUUGUAAAGCUCUUUUACCCGGGAUGAUAAUGACAGUACCGGGAGAAUAAGCUCCGGCUAACUCCGUGCCAGCAGCCGCGGUAAUACGGAGGGAGCUAGCGUUAUUCGGAAUUACUGGGCGUAAAGCGCACGUAGGCGGCUUUG
rnacentral:rRNA from 1 species